CCUACGGGAGGCAGCAGUGAGGAAUAUUGGUCAAUGGACGCGAGUCUGAACCAGCCAGGCCGCGUGAAGGAAGACGGCGCUAUGAGUUGUAAACUGCUUUUGUAAGAGGGUAAACGCAGAUACGCGUAUCUGCCUGAAAGUAUCGUACGAAUAAGGAUCGGCUAACUCCGUGCCAGCAGCCGCGGUAAUACGGAGGAUUCGAGCGUUAUCCGGAUUUAUUGGGUUUAAAGGGUGCGUAGGCGGUCUGUUAAGUUAGAGGUGAAAGCCCGAGGCUCAACUUCGGAAUUGCCUUUGAUACUGUCCGUCUAGAGUGUAGUUGCGGUAGGCGGAAUGUAUGGUGUAGCGGUGAAAUGCUUAGAUAUCAUGCAGAACUCCGAUUGCGAAGGCAGCUUACCAAGCUACUUCUGACGUUGAGGCACGAAAGCGUGGGUAGCAAACAGGAUUAGAUACCCGAGUAGUC
rnacentral:rRNA from 1 species